UACGUAGGUGGCAAGCGUUGUCCGGAUUUACUGGGCGUAAAGAGCGCGCAGGCGGUCGUCCAAGUCGCGUGUGAAAGCCCCCGGCUCAACUGGGGAGGGUCACGCGAUACUGGUCGACUCGAAGGCAGGAGAGGGUAGUGGAAUUCCCGGUGUAGUGGUGAAAUGCGUAGAUAUCUGGAGGAACACCGGUGGCGAAGGCGGCGUUCUGGACUGUUACUGACACUGAUGAACGAAAGCCAGGGGAGCAAACGGG
rnacentral:rRNA from 1 species